UAAAGGGGAAUAAAAAUCCCCAACUCCUUCUUCUAUCUCCGGUUCCAGCUCUUAUCUCCCCAAAUUUUCGGUUUCGGCUUUCUUCUCUGAGUUCCAACCAUCCAAGAACUCCUCUUCUUCAAGAGUUCUGAAAAGAUCAAACCUUCCUCAAGCCCUUUAAAUUCCUCUCUCCUCCCUCUCUUUUUUUUUUCUUCUUCAGUUCGGGUUCAAGUAAAAGGAGAAGAUUCAAGGCUAGGGUUUUAGCCAAUCAUCGAGCUAGGGCAUUUGGGGGUUCUUGCUUCGACGGGUCCCUUCUCCUCUUGAUUCUUCUUCGAAUUCAGAUUAGCCAUGUCGACGCUUUGGACCGGCUGGAGCGCGAAUUCUGACGGUUACAAGAGUUGAAGACUGCUGGUAGCUCAACAUACAUAGCCAUUUGGAUGGAAUCUCAUCUACAAGCAUGGCACGACACUCGGGCUUCUGCUGGACUUGAGAUUCAAACGCAACAAAGUCGGGUGGAUCAAAUGGAGGCCUUGGCUAUCUUGGGGAUGGUGAAGGAUGACUUGGAGCGUUCACAAGUUGUGAUAUCCAGAAAAUUUGAGCUCUCGAAACAGAAGUUAGCCAAGAUCAAACAAGAGGCUGCGAAAACAUUAUCCCUCACCGAGGAAUCCUUCAAGGUUGCAUUGCAGUGUGAGCUUGAGCGAACUUAUACAGAGGAAUUGACUAAACUUGAACAGCAAGCCUGUAGUCACAAACUUCAUGUAGAUUGUUUGUAACUCUUGUACCUGCAAACUCAAUUUUAUUAAUAGAAAAUAUGUCCUUUUCAUUCA